UACGAAGGGGGCUAGCGUUGCUCGGAAUCACUGGGCGUAAAGGGUGCGUAGGCGGGUCUUUAAGUCAGGGGUGAAAUCCUGGAGCUCAACUCCAGAACUGCCUUUGAUACUGAAGAUCUUGAGUUCGGGAGAGGUGAGUGGAACUGCGAGUGUAGAGGUGAAAUUCGUAGAUAUUCGCAAGAACACCAGUGGCGAAGGCGGCUCACUGGCCCGAUACUGACGCCGAGGCACGAAAGCGUGGGGAGCAAACAGGG
rnacentral:rRNA from 1 species